AUGAUUUCUUUCGUUAUACGCAUGUGCAAAUUCUUAAUAUAAACAACAUAGAAAAGUUGUUUUUCAGUUAGCAUUAGUCUUGUACAAGAGAGGUGAUUUAUAUUAAAAUAGAAUUUUUAAUGUAAGAAAAAACUUCGUAGCUUAUCCAUUUUUCUCGUUAAAUUUCCUGUUAUUAUUAUGGUUAACUCCAAAUAUGCUUGAGAAACUUUUCUACAAUACUUUCUCUACACAGCCCACCUUUCUACAGAAGCUGUCAUACCGUCUCUUUAGAAUCAACACCUUAUAAUGUUCCAAAGUGGUCACUCAUCCAAGUACUAAUCAUGUCCAUUGUAAUUUAAUUUUAGUGAUUGUACAGGAACCAGGUUUUUUAAUGAAGCAUAGUCAUUGACAGUAUAUAAUAUGAUUAGUAACAUAAGAAAGACUUAAAAGAGUGAUUUUUAGUAUGUGAAUGAAUAGAAAGAAUGAAUGAUAAGACAGCUUAUAUUUGUUAUUAGGAAAUUAUAAACCAACUCCUAUUCAUAGCUACAAAGCUGAAUAUAUUUUAAAUAAACUAAACUAAACUAAA